ensembl:lncRNA
AUUUUCUCAAAACGUGUAUUUUAAACACCAACCAAUGAAAAUGUCUCCAGGAAUCUGGUUUCCCAGGAGAUGGUUUCUCAUUCAUCUUGAGUACCAUGUUAUGCUGCAAAAGGCCCAGCUCAGCAAACACAAACGCAGAGAUUUAUCCUAGGGCCCAGGAGAGCCACGCUGAGCACAAUCCCUCCUGGAUUAACAUGUGUUUGAAGAGUCUGCAUGCAGACGACUGAUGCUGAAAAUCCUGAUGACAGCCUGAGCGUGUUUGUUGGGAAGUGUCACCUCAGCGGCACAGGGACAUCCCUCAGCCUACAGGAGCAAGUGUACCUUCCCCACACACUGUGUACGAGCACCCUGUGGUCAGCAAAUGCCAGUCCAGCUGUUCCCAUUGGAUGCAAUCACUGGCAGAACUGGGUUUGGAGGAACCAAAGAGCCUGUGCUUUCCUUUCCAUCCAUGAAACAAGCUUUUGGCUUCAAAACUUAAAUAAGAAGCUCACUGAUAGAUUUCCAUGUUGUAUAAAUUAAUGCAAGAAGAAAGGGAAAGUAUGCACAGCAACAGAGGGGUUUAUAGCCCUGAAGGAGCAAUGAAAGGAGAUGGACGUUUCUGCCCGCUGCAUUUAUUGGGAAAGGAGAGGUAAUUACACCGUGGUUGUGUUGCUGCCAAGUUAUAAUGUGGAUAGGAUGGUGUCUUUCAAGGAGACUAUCAAAUGGUUCAGUAGCAUGGAUAACCAACUGUGGUUUUUUCUGCAUGAUGACACCAGGCCAUAAUAACUGGUUGGGAAUAACGAUGCUAUAUUUUUCCAUUAAAUAAAGUUUUAUUUGUAGGACAUUGACUGAUUUUUAAAGUAACGUAGACUUUCCUUACCACUAAAGCCCACAUAUUUAACACACAGCCAAACUGUUCUCUCUGAAACCACAUUAUGCAUGUUGUAACAAUACUCUCCCACAGACGAUGAACACUGAGGACAUAUUUUUCCAUGUGAAUCAUCCAUUCACUUAAAAAAUACAUUCCCUUAUUAAAAAAUGCAGCCAUGUGACAAGUUUUGCAGUGCUGUGUUCCACUUCUCUUUUUCAUUAGACUAUUAAAAAUUUAUUGCUGUUUCAAAUCAUUUUCUGAUGACUGCAUAAUUUUUCCUCCUUAUUCCCCUCGUUUCCUUUCCAAGAUAAUAUCAAGCAGUUUCCACCUUCGCUUUGCUGCGAGUGCACCUAAGUAAAAUAAAUGACCAAGAACUGAUCCUGCAGUGAGAUGAAUGCAAAUAGAUCUGCAUUGCUUCCUUCAAACCAGCGGUCACACAUUGACCCAUAAAGCUGCCGGUUGGCAUUUCUCUGCCAAGUAAGGCCACAAAAGAGACAUGAAGUUGUCAUUACAAUCCCUGUCUCUGAUCACUGAGAAAUACGGAGUCCCUGCAAUUUUGUAUGUUUUCCUCUAAAACUAGAAGGUUAAGAGGGAGCAUGAAAAGCAUAUGUUGCUGCUGAAAGGCUGGUAGUCUGGGUUGGUAUCCAUUACCAGAUGCUGUUCUGC